UAGGGAAUCUUCCGCAAUGUGCGAAAGCCUUACGGAGCAACGCCGCGUGAGUGAUGAAGGUCUUCGGAUCGUAAAACUCUGUUAUUAGGGAAGAACAAAUGUGUAAGUAACUAUGCACGUCUUUACGGUACCUAAUCUGAAAGCCACGGCUAACUACGUGCCAGCAGCCGCGGUAAUACGUAGGUGUCAAGCGUUAUCCGGAAUUAUUGGGCGUAAAGCGGGCGUAGGCGGUUUUUUAAGUCUGAUGUGAAAGCCCACGGCUCAACCGUGGAGGGUCAUUGGAAACUGGAAAACUUGAGUGCAGAAGAGGAAAGUGGAAUUCCAUGUGUAGCGGUGAAAUGCGCAGAGAUAUGGAGGAACACCAGUGGCGAAGGCGAGUUUCUGGUCUGUAACUGACGCUGAUGUGCGAAAGCGUGGGGAUCAAACAGG
rnacentral:rRNA from 1 species